rnacentral:rRNA from 1 species
GAUGAACGCUGGCGGCGUGCUUAACACAUGCAAGUCGAACGAAGCACUUUAUUUGAUUUCCUUCGGGACUGAUUAUUUUGUGACUGAGUGGCGGACGGGUGAGUAACGCGUGGGUAACCUGCCUUGUACAGGGGGAUAACAGUUGGAAACGGCUGCUAAUACCGCAUAAGCGCACAGUAUCGCAUGAUGCAGUGUGAAAAACUCCGGUGGUAUAAGAUGGACCCGCGUUGGAUUAGCUAGUUGGUGAGGUAACGGCCCACCAAGGCGACGAUCCAUAGCCGACCUGAGAGGGUGACCGGCCACAUUGGGACUGAGACACGGCCCAAACUCCUACGGGAAGCAGCAGUGGGGAAUAUUGCACAAUGGGCGAAAGCCUGAUGCAGCGACGCCGCGUGAGCGAAGAAGUAUUUCGGUAUGUAAAGCUCUAUCAGCAGGGAAGAUAAUGACGGUACCUGACUAAGAAGCACCGGCUAAAUACGUG